rnacentral:rRNA from 1 species
UUGAACGCUGGCGGCAGGCCUAACACCUGCCAGUCGAGCGGAUGAAGGGAGCUUGCUCCUGGAUUCAGCGGCGGACGGGUGAGUAAUGCCUAGGAAUCUGCCUGGUAGUGGGGGAUAACGUCCGGAAACGGGCGCUAAUACCGCAUACGUCCUGAGGGAGAAAGUGGGGGAUCUUCGGACCUCACGCUAUCAGAUGAGCCUAGGUCGGAUUAGCUAGUUGGUGGGGUAAAGGCCUACCAAGGCGACGAUCCGUAACUGGUCUGAGAGGAUGAUCAGUCACACUGGAACUGAGACACGGUCCAGACUCCUACGGGAGGCAGCAGUGGGGAAUAUUGGACAAUGGGCGAAAGCCUGAUCCAGCCAUGCCGCGUGUGUGAAGAAGGUCUUCGGAUUGUAAAGCACUUUAAGUUGGGAGGAAGGGCAGUAAGUUAAUACCUUGCUGUUUUGACGUUACCAACAGAAUAAGCACCGGCUAACUUCGU